UUGCGGGACCACGCCUCCUGUAACGGCUAAGCCGUAGGGUGGGGGACGGGAGGUUGUGCUCAAUGGGGUGGGAGGGGUUAUUGAGGUAGAGGAAUAAAAGACUGGCGUGGGAGACGCGAGGUGCGGGUGGCGUGGGGAAGAGAAAAUUGAGGCUGGCUGGGCCUGGGAAGAGAAGAGAGAGAGAGACGGCUCGGGAGGCUUGGGGUAAAGAAGGAACGACCAAGGGAGAGUCUGACGCAGGGAUGAGGGGUGCAGAUGAAAAAGGAAAGCUUGGAGGGAGAAAUUGAGGAAGGACGCGGCAGUGGGAAGACUGAAGGCUGUUGGAGGACUUGAACUAAGAUUCUUGCGCAAAAAAGUGGGAUAGAGGCCAGGUCCUUAAUCCGUGAUGGUUGCAUCAUUAGGGUGGCUCCUGCCUCUUUUUGGGCCCUUCACGAUUGAUAAUUCCAAGACCUGUUCAAAGAGAUCCUUACCACUGCUCUCAAGGCCAAUGUAUGUAGUGGACAGUCUCCCAAUGCGUUCUCCUCAUCCUGGAUAUACCUGGUGCCGUCUCUAACCUUUUCUUUCUUCCACAGAUUUUUGCUCCUCUCAUUCUAAGCACUCCCAUCCCUUUUCCUUCUGUAUCAGUUUCCCAAAAUAAGCCAAUGCUUUUGAAGAGCAUUUCUGGAAAUUAUCUUCUGGGUGCCUGGAAACUGUUGAUUUUGGGAUCUGAAACUUCAACAAGAGAACAUUAAGGCCUGGCUACCUUCUUGUGAGUGGGGGAGAGAAAUCACAGAAAUGAGAACAAAACACAAAUAUCUUCAGAAAUUAUCACAUAUAUUAUAUAGAUAUAUUUCCGGUGUCAGAUGCAGUACUUUACUUUGAGGUCACAAAGGUAGUUUAUAUUCAAGUAGGAGAAAAAAAGAGUAUUUAAUUGUAAUGAAAAAUUGCAAUGUGACAAAUGCCAAGAGAUAAGUGAAUAUUAAGUACGAUUGGAGUUUAAAGCACAAGAUAGAUUUCAACCAGGGGAGAAUGAGUUCCAGGCAAAGGGAAGCGUGAAUAAAAGAGCAGAGAUGAGAAUGUCAGAGAUGCAUUUAAGGAAUGGGAGUGAUCGAGUUGUGAAGAAAUAGUGGGGUGAGACAUCAAAGGCAUGGAGAAGGGAAAGGGGGCAAGGAGGAUUUAUAGCUCCCUAGCAACUCAUUACUGCUGCUGUCCUUGAAAAUUCUGCUUGGGUGAUGGCGUUACAAAUGGCUGAAGUGUCCUUGCUCUGUAAUGAGAUGCCCAGAUAAAGGUACCUUGAGCUGAGGCUAAUAAAACUUUGAUAAGGAAGUGUCUGAGAAGGAGCUGGGUAGUGGUAUCUAUGGGUUUCUAGACUAGAAUCAACAUUCUUACCUGAUGGCUGCCAAACCUUGACUUACUUUCUCUGAGGAUGGGGUUGAGGGGAGGUAUGAGCUCUUCUUCGUGGUGAGAUGCACAAAAGGUAAUUUAUGAAACGAUGGUUGUGUGCCCGCAGUGUACUUACCAAGUACAUGGUGCAGCAGCCUUCCAUUGUGGGGGGAGGGGUGGAGAGUGUGGGGGGAGGAAACCUCCCCUAGGAAUUGGAAAGAGUAAUUCCUGCCCUGAAGCCUAGAGGUCUGCAGUUCAUUUUAUGUGGACCACGGUAUGCUACCCGACGUUCUCCUGAAGGUAUUAACAGUAUGGCCUUGUGAAAUGACUGACUUUGGAGUCAGGUGGACAAAUUUAAAUCUAGCAAUGCCUUGUCUUUGCUGUGUGUCAUUGGGAAAACCACAACCUGGCUGAGCCUUAACUUCCUUCUCUAUAGAGUGGAGGUAAUGACAUCUGCCUUGCAGAAUGGUGGACAUUAACAAAUAUCAGUGUAAACCUCCCGAUAGUAGGGCUUCUAAACAGCAGUAAUAAUAAUUAUUAUGUCAUUUAGUGCCUAAUGAAGAGUUUUGGGUGCUCGUGUUGGCUGUGGAUCUGCACGGCCUGCUCUCUAAUCUCUUGUGUUCACAAACCGUAACUGUACUUUGUUUUGGACCGGGGAGGUUCCAAAAAGACUGUUUCUUCUACCCUAUUUACUCACAUAAUCCAGUUACUAUGGCAUAUAGGGUGCAGGAGCAAUUGACAGCGUAGUGAUUCAGAAGGAGUUAGGGCGAAAGCUGGCUCUUCCUCUAACCUGCUGAAUGAUAGAGCACGUUACUUAACCGUUCUCAGCCUCUGCUAAUCCUUCUCUUAGCCACCGCAGGGCUCUUGGGAUUAAAAGAGGGAGCAUCUGUAUUCAGCACAGGGGCUGGCAAUUAGUAGGUCAUUGAUAAGCGAUAGAGGCCAUUGUUAUUACUACACACAUUGACUGAGUACCUUAUUGCAGACUUUCACUUCAUGUGAGUCCCUAACCAGACGGGCUGAAAAGAAUAGAGGUUUGCCUGACCUGUGUGAUCUUCACGAAUGGGGGAUCCGCAGGCCCUCUUUGCCUCUCCUGCUUCACAGCCAGUUCCCGGGAGAAGGGCUCCGGCCCUGAGCAGGAGAGUUUCUUUUCCGAGAGUGUAGUUAGUGUAGUUCAUCUGUUCAAUCUUAAACACCUACUUAGUGCCAAAUAUAUGGAGGUGGAGAAGGAGACAGGGAGACCAAGAUUCAACAUUUUAAAGUGUUUUUCUAACAUUUUUUAAUUACAAAAAUACAUACUUCUAGCUUUAAGAAAAAUCCAACCAUAAUAAAGGCAGAAAGUGAAAAGUAAAAUUUCUCCCCAAAUCUUGCUCACUCACUUGACUGCCCUUCCUUAAAAUAUCCACUAUUCAGUGGUUCAGUGUGUAGCCUGCCAGACAUUUUAACACAUCUAUAUGCGAGUCUGUCUUUUUUGUUCUAAACAUAAACGGCAGCAUUCUGUGCCAACAGUUUUUUACUUGUUUUUAAAUAAAAUAUUCUGGCCACCUUUCCUUGUCAGUAUAUAAGUUUGCUUCAUUUUUUUCAUGGUCUUAUAGUAUUAUAUUGAGCGCUUUUAACCAGUCCCCUUCUGAUAAAGAUAUAGGUGAUUCUAGCUUUUCAGUAUUGCAAACCAUACUGCAAUAAGCAUCACUGUAUAGAACAUCUUUGUGCAUAAUAUCAAUAUAUCUAUAGGGUAAUUCCUAGAAAUGGCACAAAAAGACUGCGCCAAGCAGCAGGGUAGGUAGCAUCUUCUUUUUCCACCCCCUCAAUCAAUUUCGGGUACUGUCUUCCCAUCUUUUUAGUCUUCAUCAAUAUGGUAGCUGAAAUGGCGUGAGAUUGAAUAAGAGUCCAUGCCCUCAAGCUCAUUGUUUAGUGGAGACAAAUAUGUAAACCAAGAGUGACCAUGUAAUAGUGUGAAAAGUGUUAUAAUCGAGCAUGAUACAAAUUGCUGUGGGAAUAUGCAGGAAGGAGUGACUGACCAACUGCUGACCGGAAUUUGGAAAGUCGCCAGGUGCGUAAGCCUGCAUGAUAUUUGGAUAAUAAUAAUCUUUUUUUCUGCCUGUCCUCCCAACCAGGAGGUGAGUGGCUUGUGGGCAGGAACUACUUCUGCCUCUAUAUACAAAGGUUGGAACAGAACAGGCAUUGGAUACAUGUAUGUUGAUCAAGUAAAUAUCUGCAAAAUAAACUCAUUCUCCCUGUUGCCUUUA